rnacentral:rRNA from 1 species
CCUACGGGGGGCAGCAGUGGGGGAUAUUGCACAAUGGGGGGAACCCUGAUGCAGCGACGCCGCGUGGGUGAAGAAGCGCCUCGGCGCGUAAAGCCCUGUCAGCAGGGAAGAAAAUGACGGUACCUGAAGAAGAAGCCCCGGCUAACUACGUCCCAGCAGCCGCGGUAAGACGUAGGGGGCAAGCGUUCUCCGGAUUUACUGGGUGUAAAGGGGGCGCAGACGGCGAUGCAAGCCAGGAGGGAAAGCCCGGGGCCCAACCCCGGGACUGCUCUUGGAACUGCGUGGCUGGAGUGCAGGAGGGGCAGGCGGAAUUCCUGGUGUAGCGGUGAAAUGCGGAGAUAUCAGGAGGAACACUGGUGGCGAAGGUGGCCUGCUGGACUGCAACUGACGUUGAGGCCCGAAAGCGUGGGGAGCAAACAGGAUUAGAUACCCCUGUAGUC